rnacentral:rRNA from 1 species
UACGUAGGGUGCAAGCGUUAAUCGGAAUUACUGGGCGUAAAGCGUGCGCAGGCGGUGAUGUAAGACAGAUGUGAAAUCCCCCGGCUUAACCUGGGAACUGCGUCUGAUACUGGGAGGCUUGAGUAUGGGAGAGGGAUGUAGAAUUCCAGGUGUAGCGGUGAAAUGCGUAGAUAUCUGGAGGAAUACCGGUGGCGAAGGCGGCAUCCUGGACCAUAACUGACGCUGAGGCGCGAAAGCUAGGGGAGCAAACGGG